rnacentral:rRNA from 1 species
CCUACGGGUGGCAGCAGUCGAGAAUCAUUCACAAUGGGGGAAACCCUGAUGGUGCGACGCCGCGUGGGGGAAUGAAGGUCUUCGGAUUGUAAACCCCUGUCAUGUGGGAGCAAAUUAAAAAGAUAGUACCACAAGAGGAAGAGACGACUAACUCUGUGCCAGCAGCCGCGGUAAUACAGAGGUCUCAAGCGUUGUUCGGAAUCACUGGGCGUAAGGCGUGCGUAGGCUGUUUCGUAAGUCGUGUGUGAAAGGCGCGGGCUCAACCCGCGGACGGCACAUGAUACUGCGAGACUAGAGUAAUGGAGGGGGAACCGGAAUUCUCGGUGUAGCAGUGAAAUGCGUAGAUAUCGAGAGGAACACUCGUGGCGAAGGCGGGUUCCUGGACAUUAACUGACGCUGAGGCACGAAGGCCAGGGGAGCGAAAGGGAUUAGAUACCCGUGUAGUC